rnacentral:rRNA from 1 species
CCUACGGGUGGCUGCAGUGGGGAAUAUUGGACAAUGGGCGAAAGCCUGAUCCAGCCAUGCCGCGUGUGUGAAGAAGGCCUUCGGGUUGUAAAGCACUUUCAGUGGGGAAGAAAGGCUUGGGGCUAAUACCCUCGAGGAAGGACAUCACCCACAGAAGAAGCACCGGCUAACUCCGUGCCAGCAGCCGCGGUAAUACGGAGGGUGCGAGCGUUAAUCGGAAUUACUGGGCGUAAAGCGCGCGUAGGCGGUCUGAUAAGCCGGUUGUGAAAGCCCCGGGCUCAACCUGGGAACGGCAUCCGGAACUGUCAGGCUAGAGUGCAGGAGAGGAAGGUAGAAUUCCCGGUGUAGCGGUGAAAUGCGUAGAGAUCGGGAGGAAUACCAGUGGCGAAGGCGGCCUUCUGGACUGACACUGACGCUGAGGUGCGAAAGCGUGGGUAGCAAACAGGAUUAGAUACCCCAGGUAGUC